rnacentral:lncRNA from 1 species
AAAACUCUGACACUAGCUAUCCCAAGCUAGAACACUUGUUUUCCGGGUACAAGCAAACCCAAAACACUUCGAUUUCAGGUUCGGAUCAACCUUUCCUUAUUUUGAAAAUCCUCCAAAAACAAGAGCAAAAACUCACAAAGAGUAAGAAUAUUUAGAGCACAGAUUAAUACAAUAACAGCUCCUUAAAUGAGCAAAUAUAACAAUAAAAGCUUUACUCAAAUGAAGAACCCCUUUUUUCAGAAUUUCUCAAAGUGGAUGAACGCUUGAACGCUUGAGAAGAGGUUGAUUGUUGAUUGAAGAUCUCUUGAAAGCUUUGAACGAUCUCUAGAUCAAGGUUGAAACAAUAUGCGUGAAGAAUUCUCUCCUUGAAAGAUCUUGCUUUUCUCUUUCACAAUCUCUCUGGUAUAUUGUGGAUCCUCUCUCUUUUUCUCUUUGGAUUUUUCGUUGAUCUCAGGCUUUUUCUUGCAAAUUUCGGAUCCUCUCUUCUGUUCUUCUCUUUUUCUUUCUCUUUCUCUUCUCAUUUGAUUUCAC